AUGCUCACUUCAGCAGCACAUCUACUAAAAUUCGAACAAUAUAGAGAGGAUUAGCAUGGACCCUGCGCAAGGAUGACAUGCAAAUUUGUGAAGUGUUCCACAUUUGU